rnacentral:Y_RNA from 1 species
GGCUGGUCCGAAGGUAGUGAGAUCUCACAACGAUUGCUUACAGUCAAUUACUGGUCGACCUAUUUGUCUACCCCCCCCCUCACUGCUGCACUUGACUAGUCUUUA